rnacentral:rRNA from 1 species
UGGGGAAUAUUGCACAAUGGGCGAAAGCCUGAUGCAGCGACGCCGCGUGAGGGAUGGAGGCCUUCGGGUUGUAAACCUCUUUCAGUAAGGGUGAAGGCUCUCUUUUGUGGAGGGUUGACAGUACUUGCAGAAGAAGCGCCGGCUAACUACGUGCCAGCAGCCGCGGUAAUACGUAGGGCGCGAGCGUUGUCCGGAAUUAUUGGGCGUAAAGGGCUUGUAGGUGGCGUGUCGCGUCUGCUGUGAAAUUCCAGGGCUUAACUUUGGGAUUGCAGUGGGUACGGGCAUGCUAGAGUGCAGUAGGGGAGAUUGGAAUUCCUGGUGUAGCGGUGGAAUGCGCAGAUAUCAGGAGGAACACCGGUGGCGAAGGCGGGUCUCUGGGCCGUUACUGACGCUGAGGAGCGAAAGCGUGGGGAGCGAACAGG